rnacentral:rRNA from 1 species
UACAGAGGGUGCAAGCGUUAAUCGGAGUGACUGGGCGUAAAGGGCGCGUAGGUGGUGAUAUAAGAUGACUGUGAAAGACCCGGGCUUAACCUGGGGGAGUCAGUCAAGACUGUAUGACUAGAGUAGGGUAGAGGGAAGUGGAAUUUCCGGUGUAGCGGUGAAAUGCGUAGAUAUCGGAAGGAACACCAGUGGCGAAGGCGACUUCCUGGGCCCAUACUGACACUGAGGCGCGAAAGCAUGGGGAGCAAACAGG